UACGUAGGGACCAAGCGUUGUUCGGAUUUACUGGGCGUAAAGGGCGCGUAGGCGGCGUGACAAGUCACUUGUGAAAUCUCUGGGCUUAACCCAGAACGGCCAAGUGAAACUGUUGUGCUAGAGUGCAGAAGGGGCAAUCGGAAUUCUCGGUGUAGCGGUGAAAUGCGUAGAUAUGCGGAGGAACACCGAUGGCGAAGGCAAUCCCCUGGACCUGUACUGACGCUCAUGCACGAAAGCGUGGGGAGCAAACAGG
rnacentral:rRNA from 1 species